CCGAUGUGUUACACCAAGAGGACAUUCAUCUUUGCAAUUGGUGAAGUCCUUCUACCUAGUUCCCCUUACUUGUGCACAGAAGAGGACUGGAAAACUCUCCUCACAGGACUGCAUACUGCUAUCUCUGAGAAACCAGAAAGAAGAAAGUGCCUCUUCCAAGCUUCUACCUAAGAGUAUACUGGAAGGUUUACCUAGAGCAACAAGACAACGAAAUGGAUUGUCCUUCUCACGAUAGUCCACACAAUCCUCAUCAUUUUGAUAAGAUAGCAUGAAGUCUCUUAUCGCUUGUGGAUCCAGCACUUUGGUUCAGGUUCAUCUGCCCAUAAUUCUCUAAGAUUUGGAGCUGUUGAGGAGUGGCUCAUAGUAGACACUGAACCAUCAGCCAACAGCAUUUGUUGUCCUGGAUGUCUGUGCCAACCUUUCGAGUCACACUGGGGUCUAAAGACACACCUGGAAUAAAAAUCAGAAUGUUUAAGAAACUUAAUAUGAUCUGCGGGAGAAUACACGAGGUUUUUGUUUCAUACCACAGUCUAAUGGCA
rnacentral:lncRNA from 1 species